rnacentral:lncRNA from 1 species
AUCAGCCAGGCAGUCUCCAGCGUUGGACACAAGCAAGCAGAGAAGGGUGGUGACAGCAACAGGCCCUAUCCAGGAAGCACUUGGCAAGGCAACAGGCCAGGAAUGUUGGAUGUGCCACACUCUACCUAUUAAUUGACUUCUCAACUGAAAGGAGUGUUUUUGCAAAUACAUGAUGCUGCAGAGAAGCUGAGAAAGCUUGCUUGGGAUUCCUCCUGUGAAAUGAACUUCAGAGGCAGGCUGAUACCUAUUUUGGAGCAGUAUGGAAGAAAUAAAUGCUGUUCCCAGUAAUUAGAUGCCUCUUCUGUAAAUAAGGCUAGCAGUUGGAAGUGACAAAUUCUCCUGCAUUUAAAAAACAAUGAAAGGGAAAUUCUAUCAUUUCUCUGAAAGAUGCAUUUUAAAUUCAUCUCCUGACUAAAUCUUCAUGGCUCUUCUAUGCUGCUUUUAUUUAAAUCAUUUCUGCCUCUGGUUUCUAGCAAGUUUCUCUAAGAAUACAGGCAGUACAGAAAAGUUACAAGUAGUUGAGUUUGGUGAAGAUGUGGGUUUUCAAAUGUCCUUCAAUAUUUGCAUUUUUUUUUUUCCCACAGCGCAACUUUUGGGGUCAUUUGAGUAUGUGAAAAAUCUGAACUUCCAUUUAGAAAAAAAGGAAAAAGCAAAAAGAAGUAAGUCUUUAGCUCCUAUUACUGAAGAUAAACAUUUCAAAUAUAUGAAUUGUAAAGUCUCACAAGCCGAAAGACAAACAAAAUGAACCUUACGCUUAUUAAUUUUUAAGUGUCAUGAUAUUUAAGCCAAUCACAUAAUUUUUGAGUGUUUGUGCUCCAUGAUAUUUGAAUGUCUGGUUUCAAAAUGCUGAACUUUAUAGUAUUAUUUCCUACCUAUUUUAUAUUUAUAGUAUUGAGGCCUAAAGUUCCAAGCUUUAGCAAACUAGAAUGCUUUCUUGUCCUGGGGUGAUAAAUCCCCCCCAAAUAAUGGAAAUACUGACAGAACUUUAACUACACUGUCUCAAAUGAGACACAAUGAUUUUUAGCUUCUAAUUAAAUGCAUAUUUCUU